GUGUAUCGAGGUAUCCGAAUUUAUUGCAUUGGAUUUCGGAUAAUUUUGAGUCUGGAGUGGAGACGGCAGGUGGUGGGUCAAGCAUCUAUGAUUGUAGUGGGAGUCCUUUCGGUUAAUGAAAACAACUGAGAUUUUCCAAGAAUAUGGAUUGCAUCAGAGAAGGGUGUUUUAUUAUGGCGAUUGCUGUCAGAUAUAGUGAUGCCUAAUUCAGGUAAGGGCAUGCACCUAUCUUUGAUUGGUCCGCGGAAUAUGUAUUAGUGAAAGGUGUGGUGAUACUGCGGGAAGCCGUAGUACUCAUCAGUUAGUGAGAAGUUGUGGUGAUACUGCAGGAAGCUGUAGUACUCACUAGUCAGUGAAAGGUGUGGUGAUACUACGAGAAGCCGUAGUACUCAUCAGUCGGUGAGAAGUUGUGGUGAUACUACGGGAAGCCGUAGUACUCAUCAGUCGGUGAGAAGUUGUGGUGAUACUGCGGGAAGCCGUAGUACUCACCAGUCAGUGAAAGGUGUGGUGAUACUACGGGAAGCCGUAGUACUCAUCAGUCGGUGAGAAGUUGUGGUGAUACUGCGGGAAGCCGUAGUACUCACCAGUCAGUGAAAGGUGUGGUGAUACUACGGGAAGCUUUAGUACUCACUGGUCAGUGAGAGGUUGUGGUGAUACUGUGA
rnacentral:lncRNA from 1 species